UACGGGGGGGGCAAGCGUUGUUCGGAAUUACUGGGCGUAAAGGGCGCGUAGGCGGCCAACUAAGUCAGACGUGAAAUCCCUCGGCUUAACCGGGGAACUGCGUCUGAUACUGGAUGGCUUGAGAGUGGGAGAGGGAUGCGGAAUUCCAGGUGUAGCGGUGAAAUGCGUAGAUAUCUGGAGGAACACCGGUGGCGAAGGCGGCAUCCUGGACCAACACUGGCGCUGAGUGAGCGAAAGCCAGGGGAGCAAACGGG
rnacentral:rRNA from 1 species